rnacentral:rRNA from 1 species
GGUCAAGUUAUUAAGGGUUUACGGUGGAUCCCUUGGGGCCAAGAGCCGAAGAAGGGCGCGGCAAGACUGCGAAAAGCCUCGAUCAGCUGUCUAGCAAGCUUAGUCGAGGAUACCCGAAUGGGGAAACCCGUCCUGGGUUAUACCAGGACAUACGGUAAUCCGUAUGGUAAGUGUGUGAACUGAAACAUCUAAGUAACACGAGGAACAGAAAUCAAAAGAGAUUCCCUUAGUAGUGGCGAACGAAAUGGGAAUAGCCCAAACCGGUCGGGCUUAGUGGGUCGAGGCCCUAUGUCCGUCCGGUGUUGUAACGCGCUCCCGUCCUAUCCUCGAAUGAGGGCAAGAAGUUACAAACUCUUUUUCUAGCCGAAUGCACCUGGAAAGGACAACCGAAGAAGGUGAAAGUCCUGUAGGCGAAAGCAAAAGAGCUUCUGGAACGUCGUUGAGUACCACGGAACACGUGAAAUUCUGUGGGAAGCUGGGGAGACCACUCUCCAAGGCUAAAUACUCUUGGCCACCGAUAGUGAACCAGUACCGUG